rnacentral:tRNA from 1 species
GAGGGUGUAGCUCAGUGGUUAGAGUAUAUGCCUAGCAUGCACGAGGUCCUGGGUUCAGUCCCUAGUACCUGCA